rnacentral:rRNA from 1 species
CGCGUGUGUGAAGAAGGCCUCUCGGGUUGUAAAGCACUCUUUGUCCGGAAAGAAAACCAUCGCCCUAAUAUGGUGGUGGGAUAGACGGUACCGGAAGAAUAAGCACCGGCUAACUACGUGCCAGCAGCCGCGGUAAUACGUAGGGUGCGAGCGUUAAUCGGAAUUACUGGGCGUAAAGCGUGCGCAGGCGGUCUGUUAAGACCGAUGUGAAAUCCCCGGGCUUAACCUGGGAACUGCAUUGGUGACUGGCAGGCUUUGAGUGUGGCAGAGGGGGGUAGAAUUCCACGUGUAGCAGUGAAAUGCGUAGAGAUGUGGAGGAAUACCGAUGGCGAAGGCAGCCCCCUGGGCCAACACUGACGCUCAUGCACGAAAGCGUGGGGAGCAAACAGGAUUAGAUACCCUGGUAGUCCACGCCCUAAACGAUGUCAACUAGUUGUUGGGGAUUCAUUUCCUUAGUAACGUAGCUAACGCGUGAAGUUGACCGCCUGGGGAGUACGGUCGCAAGAUUAAAACUCAAAGGAAUUGACGGGGACCCGCACAAGCGGUGGAUGAUGUGGAUUAAUUCGAUGCAACGCGAAAAACCUUACCUACCCUUGACAUGGUCGGAAUCC